UUGGGUUAGUUCGAUGACUAUAAGGAGGAGGGAGCAUUUCCUAAGUCCUGUGAAACCAUGCUAACACAGAGGACAGAGCAGAGCUGAAGAAGAUGGAGAGAGAACAGAGAGUCAGGAAGGGCAAAGGACAUGCUGAAGGUCCAUGUGGAACACGGGAGACCCUGAACAGACAGAGCAACCUGGAACAAGAAGAGCAAAACUGGGAGGAACGACAGUAUGUGAUGUCAAA
rnacentral:lncRNA from 1 species